rnacentral:lncRNA from 1 species
AUUAAAAAGUACAGAAGCCGCUGUGAGGGGGCAGCUCGGAACCGUCGGGGGGAGCCAGCGAGAGGGCGGCCUGGCAGCGCCGGGCCGGGCCGAGUGGUUGUGAAGGGGCGGUGUUGCAGGGGGCGGCGCGGUGCGGGGCGGCACGGCGCCGCUGGCCGAUGGGGGAUUGCAGGGCUAAGGGAGCGCCGCCGGGCCGCCGCGCCCAGACGUACCGGCAGCGACGCAGGUGGGUGCUGCGGCGGGGCGGCGGCGGCAGCGGCAGCGGCAGCGGCAGCGGCGCGGGCGAGCGAGCGGCGGACAUCGCUGGUCCCAGGGCGCUGCGUGCAGCCCCGAGGUGGUCGGGGGUCGCCGAGCAGGUGUGCAGCUGUGGUGUGGUUCUUCUCCAUCCCUCCCCAUACUGAUGUCUUCCUGGAUUGGGACCAGGCUAGGGUCAUCAAGGUGAGCAAGGAGCUGCUAGGCAUGGGUGGCCCAUGUAGUACAGGCAGGAGGGGAACUACUCCUUCCCCCAGAAGCAGGUUGUGUCAGAUGAAUCCCACUGUGAAACCACAGCCAAAGGUAUCUGCUGUGCUGGCAGCUGAGGGCUGGGCUUGCUGUUGCUGGACUCAAACAUGGCUCUUCCAGGGCUCCUGGCAGGACUGGUGUAGCAGCAUGGUGCUUGCUCUGCAGCAGCACAAAACCCCCUUGCACAAGUGCUGGCACACUGUGCAGUUACCAUGGUCCUGGCAGUGGCAGUGCUGCCAUUACCUGCUGCAGCUCCAGGCCAGCAGUCUGCAUAAAAUGUCCAAAUGAACUUCUGGUGUCCCUCAGAGCUGAGCUAUAAUCUUGCAAAAAGUGUUUGGGUUGGUUUUUGGGGUGAAGGCAGAAGGGUGGGGGGUUGGUGGUUUCUUAUUAUUGUUCUUAUUGAAGACUUACAUUUCUUGCGGGAUUUUAUGUUUGCUUUUAAGGAUGGGUGAAGCUAUACUUAUCUGAAAUCGCUUGCUGAGUGGGGCUAAGAGAGUGCUGCUCCCUCCUGCCUGUUGCUGCAGCCUUUCCUUGAUGAGGGUUAUUCCUAGUUCUCUUCAUUUGCACAAUCACACAUACAGUCUCUUCCUGACUUGUUUCGGUCAGUAAUGCUGGUUGCAUUAGCAAUUAUAUAGUAGCCAGGUAAGCGCUUCGCUAACAAAACCAAAUAUUUUACAGUAGCACCUUUACACUAAUAUAAAAGUUAGAUCUGAGCUUACUCUUACUGAAACAUCUCCCAGACUGCCAAGAAAUGAGUACUUGCUUCACAGACAAGUACUAAGAGAAUUGCAAGCAUAAACAAGAAGAAGCUUAUUGUUAAGUCUGUUCAGUGGCAGCAGUGCGUCUGUGAGAGAAAUCUGACUGCAGGGAAAAACUCCACCUAAAAAUAAGAGCCAUGUUAACCUGUAAAUGUUCACAUAUCUCUCUCUCUGGUAUAAAGGAAAUGCAGGUUUUGUUUGUUUUGAGCUCAAAACAAUAGAGGGAUUGCAUCCAGCUAGGUAUAGAUGAGCAUUCUUAAACAAGUUAUUUACCUUGUAUUCAGUUGUGUAAGAAGAUCUUCAUAGUAAGCUUUAUUCUUUGGAAGUCGUAGGAGGUGAAGAUCACAAUGGUAGCUUUCAGUUAAGGCUCUGGCUCCUUGCGUCAUGUAGAACAGGGGCAGUCCUUAUUGUGCAUGUUACUCGAUAAUGCUUGUGUUCCUACAUACCCUGAGAAUACGAUAAAGUAGCAAUGUUAACUCUCAUUCUAAAGAAGCAAUUUCCAGCUUCUGACAGCUAAAAAUUCACAGUUAAAAAAUGCUUCAUUUUUAACUUGGUAAGCAUAGUACAGUAGUUUAAGGCUAACCAGUAUUACAAGCUUCAUCCUAAGGAAAUACAUACUUGAUAGAGGUUAUGGAGACUAUCACACAGUUGGUCUCAUUCCUUUAUUAAUUUCAUUUGUUAUGAAUAUUGUUUUUGUUGGAUCAGAUCUACCAGUCAGAACUGGAAGGAUGUCAAGUAAGCAAGUGUGUAGUAAGUUAUAAGGCAUGCUAAAAGUUACUCUGAACUGUUUGAUGCUAAAUCACAAUCUAAAAGUGGUAAUUGUGGAAUUCCCCCUUUUUUUCAAUUUUUUUCUUUUUUUUUUUGGUUUAAUUAAAAUUCAAAGUAUGAGACCUAGUGCUCAGACAGUACCAUUGCACAUUUCCAGAUGCAAUUGUACACAGUUUCACUUAGCUACUUACAUUAAGAGUUUAAAUUUUAGUUCUUCCAGUCUGACUUCAGUAUGCACCUAAAACAGACUUGGAACAAACAUCCUCCUUCCAGGUUAUAGUACUGCCUGAAAAUAUUGCUGAUCCUUAUUGCUGUGCUAGACAUUUGUGCGGUGGUCUGCACCCUCCAUCCACCUUCUCCACCUGGAUCAAUUCCCCUAGUCAGUUAGCAGUGUGGGCACAACGGUGGACCCAAAGCAUAGUGCAUCUCAAUGGCAUUGUUGCUGUCAAAAAGCUCCAUAAUAUCGGAUCUCAAAUUUUUACACAUACACGUUGAGUUAAAAUCAAGUUGAAAUCCACGGUUUGAGAAAUUAAAAGCUAAAGUAGUACUGGGGUAACAUAAAGAUAAAAGGAAAAGAAGAAAGAUCUUAAUGCUGAGCAGCCUGUAGUAACGCUGUGAAGGGGAUUCAGUUCACUCUUCCUUAAUCAAAUGUUCUCAUCAAUUAUUCUGGGGAGCAAUUACUCUUAGAGCUGGACAAAAAAAGUCAGAGCACAAAAAAAUGUAUUGAAAGUAAUAAAACUGAAAGGAGCUAUGUAUCUGUCCA